rnacentral:tRNA from 1 species
GGUUUAAUAUUCCAAUAAAGAUUAUAAAUUGCAAGUUUAUAGAUGUUAUAUAAGUUAACUUAAACUU